rnacentral:rRNA from 1 species
GAUGAACGCUGGCGGCGUGCCUAAUACAUGCAAGUCGAGCGAACAGACGAGGAUCUUGCUCCUCUUACGUUAGCGUCGGACGGGUAAGUAACACGUGUAUAACCUACCUAUAAGACUGGGAACUUCUGGAAACCGGAGCUAAUACCUGAUAAUAUAUUGAACCGCAUGGUUCAAUAGUGAAAUACGGUUUUGCUGUCACUUAUAGAUGGAUCCGCGCCGCAUUAGCUAGUUGGUAAGGUAAAGGCUUACCAAGGCAACGAUGCGUAGCCGAACUGAGAGGGUGAUCAGCCACACUGGAACUGAGACACGGUCCAGACUCCUACGGGAGGCAGCAGUAGGGAAUCUUCCGCAAUGGGCGAAAGCCUGACGGAGCAACGCCGCGUGAGUGAAGAAGGUCUUCGGAUCGUAAAACUCUGUUAUUUGGGAAGAACAAAUGUGUAAGGAAAUAUGCACGUCUUGACGGUACCUAAUCAGAAAGCAACGGCUAACUACGUG